GAUGAAUGCUGGCGGCGUGCCUAACACAUGCAAGUCGAGCGGCAGCGCGGGGUGCUUGCACCCUGUCGGCGAGCGGCGAACGGCUGAGUAACGCGUAGGUAUUUGCUCCAAAGUGAGGAAUAACCGCCCGAAAGGGUAGCUAAUGCCGCAUACUGUCUUCGGAUUCAAGGAUUUAUCCGCUUUCGGAGAAGCCUGCGUUGGAUUAGGUUGUUGGUAGGGUAAUGGCCUACCAACCCGACGAUCCAUAGCUGGUCUGAGAGGAUGAUCAGCCAGACUGGAACUGAGACACGGUCGAGACUCCUACGGGAGGCAGCAGUGAGGAAUCUUCCACAAUGGGCGAAAGCCUGAUGGAGCAACGCCGCGUGAAGGAUGAAGGCCUGCGGGUUGUAAACUUCUUUUAUGAGUGAAGAAUAUGACGGUAACUCAUGGAUAAGCACCGGCUAACUACGUG
rnacentral:rRNA from 1 species